GGAAUUGAAUAUUCACUUAAUUUUGAGUAUAUAUUAUUGAUGUGCUUAUAUACUGAGACAAUGUAAUAGAAUAAAAAACAAAUUGUUUAUUGAUAGAAAUCAUUUACAUUAAUACAGAUUCUAAACGCUGAAGGUGUUAUGCUGUGAACAGAUGCACAUUGCACUCAUUUGUUUUGUAUAGUAUUCUGAAUAAUAGACUGCUUCAUUAAGCAAAACUCUCUGUGAAUGUGUGCGUGUUAAGAUACUUAUAAUUUACUUUUUAUUACAGAUUACAGUGAGUUUAUAAAAUAUUUGUUC
rnacentral:lncRNA from 1 species